rnacentral:rRNA from 1 species
GAUGAACGCUGGCGGCGUGCCUAAUACAUGCAAGUCGAGCGAACAGACGAGGAACUUGCUUCUCUGACGUUAGCGGCGGACGGGGGAGUAACACGUGGAUAACCUACCUAUAAGACUGGGAUAACUUCGGGAAACCGGAGCUAAUACCGGAUAAUAUAUUGAACCUCAUGGUUCAAUAGUGAAAGACGGUAUUGCUGUCACUUAUAGAUGGAUCCGCGCCGCAUUAGCUAGUUGGUAAGGUAACGGCUUACCAAGGCAACGAUGCGUAGCCGACCUGAGAGGGUGAUCGGCCACACUGGAACUGAGACACGGUCCAGACUCCUACGGGAGGCAGCAGUAGGGAAUCUUCCGCAAUGGGCGAAAGCCUGACGGAGCAACGCCGCGUGAGUGAUGAAGGUCUUCGGAUCGUAAAACUCUGUUAUUAGGGAAGAACAAAUGUGUAAGUAACUAUGCACGUCUUGACGGUACCUAAUCAGAAAGCCACGGCUAACUACGUG